rnacentral:rRNA from 1 species
CCUACGGGCGGCAGCAGUGAGGAAUAUUGGUCAAUGGACGAGAGUCUGAACCAGCCAAGUAGCGUGAAGGAUGACUGCCCUAUGGUUUGUAAACUUCUUUUAUAUGGGAAUAAAAUGUUCCACGUGUGGGAUUAUGUAUGUACCAUAUCAAUCAAGAUCGGCUAACUCCGUGCCAGCAGCCGCGGUAAUACGGAGGCUCCGAGCGUUAUCCGGAUUUAUUGGGUUUAACGGGAGCGUAGGUGGAUUGUUAAGUCAGUUGUGAAAGUUGGCGGCUGAACCGUAAAAUUGCAGUUGAAACUGGCAGUCUUGAGUACAGUAGAGGUAGGCGGAAUUCGUGGUGUAGGGGUGAAAUGCUUAGAUAUCACGAAGAACACCGAUUGCGAAGGCAGCUCACUGGACUGCAACUGACACUGAGGCUCGAAAGUGUGGGUAUCAAACAGGAUUAGAUACCCUAGUAGUC